rnacentral:ncRNA from 2 species
AAAAAUCUUUGGGGAAUGGUGUAAAUCCAUACCGGCAGUUAUAGUCUGCGAACGCCUUCGGGCGCCGAUGAGGUGAAACUCCUCAACCGACGGUACAGUCCGGAUGAGAAAAGAUUUGC